UCCACUACUAGUGCCGCAUCGGUGUCGGG
rnacentral:sRNA from 1 species